rnacentral:tRNA from 1 species
GCCAAGAUAGCUCAGAUGGUAGAGCACUUCCAUGGUAAGGAAGAGGUCGCGGGUUCGAUUCCCGCUCUUGGCU